rnacentral:lncRNA from 1 species
AGGAGGUUGUGUACGCAUGCAGGUGAUGCCGCGAUGAUAUGACGGUAUGACGUGCAACAGCAUGUGCUGCGGCUAGAUUAGGGCUGUGGGCCGCUGCAGCUGCAGGUAAAACCGUAAGGUUGAUGUUGGCUGAAAGGGAAACAUCCUGCAGUCAGUGCUGAAUGGUUUUGUGUAAGUGUUUGUGCAGCCAGAUGGAACGAAAGGACUGCUGGCCGGUUGCCCGACUCUAAAAAGGGAAGUACACACCUGCGAAUUCCCUAGCUGAACAGAGCAGGAAGACAUGCCAAAAGAACUAUAAAUCUAG